rnacentral:rRNA from 1 species
GUGAGGAAUAUUGCGCAAUGGAGGCAACUCUGACGCAGCCAUGCCGCGUGCAGGAAGAAGGCGCUACGCGUUGUAAACUGCUUUUAACCGGGAAGAAACCCCAGGACGUGUCCUGGGUUGACGGUACCGGAGGAAUAAGCACCGGCUAACUUCGUGCCAGCAGCCGCGGUAAUACGAAGGGUGCAAGCGUUAUCCGGAUUCAUUGGGUUUAAAGGGUGGGUAGGCGGAGCGUUAAGUCAGUGGUGAAAUCCUGCAGCUUAACUGUAGACUUGCCAUUGAUACUGGCGCUCUUGAGUGCGCUUGAAGUGGGCGGAAUGUGCCGUGUAGCGGUGAAAUGCUUAGAUAUGGCACAGAACACCAAUUGCGAAGGCAGCUCACUAAGGCGAUACUGACGCUGAGGCACGAAAGCGUGGGGAUCGAACAGGAUUAGAUACCCCAGUAGUCC